rnacentral:rRNA from 1 species
UACAGAGGGUGCUAGCGUUGUUCGGAAUCAUUGGGCGUAAAGAGCGUGUAGGCGGCCCGGUAAGUCCGCUGUGAAAGUCGGGGGCUCAACCCUCGAAUGCCGGUGGAUACUGUCGGGCUAGAGUGCGGAAGAGGCGAGUGGAAUUCCUGGUGUAGCGGUGAAAUGCGUAGAUAUCGAGGAGGAACACCGGUGGCGAAGGCGGAUCUGCUGGGCCAUUACUGACGCUGGAGGAGCGGAAAGCGUGGGGAGCGAACAGG